AAGAAAUUUCAAAAGCAUGUGGAGAAAAUUGUCAAAAUAGAGUUUCACAGAUUUCUUGCUUCCAGUCAAGAAUUUCAAUUCAGUGGAAUCGAGAAAAUCAAAAGAUGGGAAGAGUGUAUAAACUUCAUCUGGAGGAUUUGAUGUCUAAGACGAGCAAAGCAACAAACGUGCAAAUCCUAGUGACUGAUGAAGCAUCAAUAAAUAUCGGGAAUGUAUCCG